UUACAGGUAAACCAAGUAAAAACAAAAUAAAGCCCGUGAGUUCUCUCUCAGCUAAUUGCCAGCCUCACUUCCCAACGACCCCUUUGUCAAAUCAGACUGAACUAGGACACUUAGCAACUAGUUUUACUUUAUUUUCUCGUGAGAGUAAUAAAAUCUCCACAGCUUUUACAUUAGAGAUCUCAUGAGAUCCUGUGAGGCCUGUAUAAUUACCAUCGCCAUUUUAUGGAGGUGGAAACUGAGGCUCAGUGGGGUCAAGUGACACACCCAAGGCUAUAUUUAAACGGUUUUGCUUUGUUUUUGAAUUCUGAAACCUCGUGGUCUUCCCACCAGGCCUCACUCCGGCCAAGGGGAUGUGCUCUUUCUGAGCCAGCAUUACAACCCAGGUCUCCCAACUCCUAACCCACUUGUCCAAUGACAGAGCACGCUCUUGUGGGUAUGGCAGGGAGGACCCUCUCUGAAAAUACAGGGAAGUCUGCUGAAUUGGAGCCCGGGACCCUCUAGGCCCGGCCCGAACCUCAGCUCUUCCAUCCGGGACCCCGAAAGGCCCGCGCCUGCGCACAGGCUCAGCCGACGGCGGCCCCGCCCUCCUCCUGCCCGGACUCGGAGCUGCCCCGCCUCCUCCGCGACGGCCAUGUUGACUCCCGGCGAGUGGGGCGGGGAUGGCGGAGCCUUAGGACUCCGUGCCCCUCCGCCUUGGCAGCUUCACGCCUAGGUGACACCUGAAGAGUUCUCUCACGUACUGCACGCUCCUCAAGCCCCCUCUCCCACCUUCAGUGGGUCCCCCAGGGCUGCUGUCUCAGUCGGUGUUCUUGCUCCAGUUCCAUCCUUCAAACAUCCACUGGGUUCCCCAUGUGUGCUGAAGCUCUUGGAGUUGGGGGGCUGCCCCGUAGCCUCUUCACAGAAGCCAGAGCCGCACUUUCCCUGCUGUCAGGCAACAACAGCUCAGCACAGGGCCUGGCACACAAUGGAUGUUCUCUGAAUAGAAAGAAAAGCCUUCUUGGGGUUUCUGUGGCCAGCAGCGGCACCCUGCGUCCUGGGUGUGAAGAAAGUGGGGGAUCCCCCUGACUUUCCCCUCCUCCAGCUACCAGGGACCUUCUGUCCUACUUCAAUCCUCAGCCCCACCUCAGGUGACUAAUGAGGUUGGUAAAAGAAACUUCAGAGAACACCCCCCCAGGACUCCUUUUUCCUUCCUCAUUCAUGCAGUUUCUCUCUUAGGAAGUGGGGCCAAAAAAGAA